AAACCAACAGGGAUUGCCUCAGUAGCGGCGAGUGAAGCGGCAAAAGCUCAAAUUUGAAAUCUGGCGUCUUUGGCGUCCGAGUUGUAAUUUGAAGAAGGUAUCUUUGGGCCCGGCUCUUGUCUAUGUUCCUUGGAACAGGACGUCACAGAGGGUGAGAAUCCCGUGCGAUGAGAUGACCCGGGUCUGUGUAAAGUUCCUUCGACGAGUCGAGUUGUUUGGGAAUGCAGCUCUAAGUGGGUGGUAAAUUCCAUCUAAAGCUAAAUAUUGGCGAGAGACCGAUAGCGAACAAGUACAGUGAUGGAAAGAUGAAAAGAACUUUGAAAAGAGAGUGAAAAAGUACGUGAAAUUGUUGAAAGGGAAGGGCUUGAGAUCAGACUUGGUAUUUUGCAUGCUGCUCUCUCGGGGGCGGCCGCUGCGGUUUACCGGGCCAGCAUCGGUUUGGAGCGGCAGGAUAAUGGCGGAGGAAUGUGGCACGGCUUCUGCUGUGUGUUAUAGCCUCUGACGAUACUGCAGCCUAGACCGAGGACUGCGGUUUUUAACCUAGGAUGUUGGCAUAAUGAUCUUAAGUCGC
rnacentral:rRNA from 1 species